rnacentral:misc_RNA from 1 species
UUUCCGUAGGUGAACCUGCGGAAGGAUCAUUAUUGUAUAACCGAGGUGCGAGGGCUGUCGCUGACCCGAAAGGUCGUGCACGCCCGAGUGCCCUCACACACAUCCAUCUCACCCCUAUGUGCACCACCGCGUGGGUCCCCCUUUGGCUUGUUCGGAGGGGGGCUUACGUUUUCACACAAACUUUGAAUGCAGUGUAGAAUGUAUUUUUUGUUUUUGCGAUCACGCAAUCAAUACAACUUUCAACAACGGAUCUCUUGGCUCUCGCAUCGAUGAGAACGCAGC